AUCGCUUCUCGGCCUUUUGGCUAAGAUCAAGUGUAGUAUCUGUUCUUAUCAGUUUAAUAUCUGAUACGUCCCCUACCCGGGGACCACAUAUUAAUGGAUUUCUGGAACAGGGAGAUGGAAUAGGGGCUUGCUCCGUCCACUCCACGCAUCGACCCGGUAUUGCAGUAUCUCCAGGAACGGUGCACCCCCC
rnacentral:snRNA from 1 species